rnacentral:rRNA from 1 species
UUAAGCGACUAAGCGUACACGGUGGAUGCCCUGGCAGUCAGAGGCGAUGAAGGACGUGCUAAUCUGCGAUAAGCGUCGGUAAGGUGAUAUGAACCGUUAUAACCGGCGAUUUCCGAAUGGGGAAACCCAGUGUGAUUCGUCACACUAUCAUUAACUGAAUCCAUAGGUUAAUGAGGCGAACCGGGGGAACUGAAACAUCUAAGUACCCCGAGGAAAAGAAAUCAACCGAGAUUCCCCCAGUAGCGGCGAGCGAACGGGGAGGAGCCCAGAGCCUGAAUCAGUGUGUGUGUUAGUGGAAGCGUCUGGAAAGGCGCGCGAUACAGGGUGACAGCCCCGUACACAAAAAUGCACAUGCUGUGAGCUCGAUGAGUAGGGCGGGACACGUGGUAUCCUGUCUGAAUAUGGGGGGACCAUCCUCCAAGGCUAAAUACUCCUGACUGACCGAUAGUGAACCAGUACCGUGAGGGAAAGGCGAAAAGAACCCCGGCGAGGGGAGUGAAAAAGAACCUGAAACCGUGUACGUACAAGCAGUGGGAGCACGCUUCGGCGUGUGACUGCGUACCUUUUGUAUAAUGGGUCAGCGACUUAUAUUCUGUAGCAAGGUUAACCGAAUAGGGGAGCCGAAGGGAAACCGAGUCUUAACUGGGCGUUAAGUUGCAGGGUAUAGACCCGAAACCCGGUGAUCUAGCCAUGGGCAGGUUGAAGGUUGGGUAACACUAACUGGAGGACCGAACCGACUAAUGUUGAAAAAUUAGCGGAUGACUUGUGGCUGGGGGUGAAAGGCCAAUCAAACCGGGAGAUAGCUGGUUCUCCCCGAAAGCUAUUUAGGUAGCGCCUCGUGAAUUCAUCUCCGGGGGUAGAGCACUGUUUCGGCAAGGGGGUCAUCCCGACUUACCAACCCGAUGCAAACUGCGAAUACCGGAGAAUGUUAUCACGGGAGACACACGGCGGGUGCUAACGUCCGUCGUGAAGAGGGAAACAACCCAGACCGCCAGCUAAGGUCCCAAAGUCAUGGUUAAGUGGGAAACGAUGUGGGAAGGCCCAGACAGCCAGGAUGUUGGCUUAGAAGCAGCCAUCAUUUAAAGAAAGCGUAAUAGCUCACUGGUCGAGUCGGCCUGCGCGGAAGAUGUAACGGGGCUAAACCAUGCACCGAAGCUGCGGCAGCGACACUAUGUGUUGUUGGGUAGGGGAGCGUUCUGUAAGCCUGCGAAGGUGUACUGUGAGGUAUGCUGGAGGUAUCAGAAGUGCGAAUGCUGACAUAAGUAACGAUAAAGCGGGUGAAAAGCCCGCUCGCCGGAAGACCAAGGGUUCCUGUCCAACGUUAAUCGGGGCAGGGUGAGUCGACCCCUAAGGCGAGGCCGAAAGGCGUAGUCGAUGGGAAACAGGUUAAUAUUCCUGUACUUGGUGUUACUGCGAAGGGGGGACGGAGAAGGCUAUGUUGGCCGGGCGACGGUUGUCCCGGUUUAAGCGUGUAGGCUGGUUUUCCAGGCAAAUCCGGAAAAUCAAGGCUGAGGCGUGAUGACGAGGCACUACGGUGCUGAAGCAACAAAUGCCCUGCUUCCAGGAAAAGCCUCUAAGCAUCAGGUAACAUCAAAUCGUACCCCAAACCGACACAGGUGGUCAGGUAGAGAAUACCAAGGCGCUUGAGAGAACUCGGGUGAAGGAACUAGGCAAAAUGGUGCCGUAACUUCGGGAGAAGGCACGCUGAUAUGUAGGUGAAGCGACUUGCUCGUGGAGCUGAAAUCAGUCGAAGAUACCAGCUGGCUGCAACUGUUUAUUAAAAACACAGCACUGUGCAAACACGAAAGUGGACGUAUACGGUGUGACGCCUGCCCGGUGCCGGAAGGUUAAUUGAUGGGGUUAGCGGUAACGCGAAGCUCUUGAUCGAAGCCCCGGUAAACGGCGGCCGUAACUAUAACGGUCCUAAGGUAGCGAAAUUCCUUGUCGGGUAAGUUCCGACCUGCACGAAUGGCGUAAUGAUGGCCAGGCUGUCUCCACCCGAGACUCAGUGAAAUUGAACUCGCUGUGAAGAUGCAGUGUACCCGCGGCAAGACGGAAAGACCCCGUGAACCUUUACUAUAGCUUGACACUGAACAUUGAGCCUUGAUGUGUAGGAUAGGUGGGAGGCUUUGAAGUGUGGACGCCAGUCUGCAUGGAGCCGACCUUGAAAUACCACCCUUUAAUGUUUGAUGUUCUAACGUUGGCCCCUGAUCGGGGUUGCGGACAGUGUCUGGUGGGUAGUUUGACUGGGGCGGUCUCCUCCUAAAGAGUAACGGAGGAGCACGAAGGUUGGCUAAUCCUGGUCGGACAUCAGGAGGUUAGUGCAAUGGCAUAAGCCAGCUUGACUGCGAGCGUGACGGCGCGAGCAGGUGCGAAAGCAGGUCAUAGUGAUCCGGUGGUUCUGAAUGGAAGGGCCAUCGCUCAACGGAUAAAAGGUACUCCGGGGAUAACAGGCUGAUACCGCCCAAGAGUUCAUAUCGACGGCGGUGUUUGGCACCUCGAUGUCGGCUCAUCACAUCCUGGGGCUGAAGUAGGUCCCAAGGGUAUGGCUGUUCGCCAUUUAAAGUGGUACGCGAGCUGGGUUUAGAACGUCGUGAGACAGUUCGGUCCCUAUCUGCCGUGGGCGCUGGAGAACUGAGGGGGGCUGCUCCUAGUACGAGAGGACCGGAGUGGACGCAUCACUGGUGUUCGGGUUGUCAUGCCAAUGGCACUGCCCGGUAGCUAAAUGCGGAAGAGAUAAGUGCUGAAAGCAUCUAAGCACGAAACUUGCCCCGAGAUGAGUUCUCCCUGACUCCUUGAGAGUCCUGAAGGAACGUUGAAGACGACGACGUUGAUAGGCCGGGUGUGUAAGCGCAGCGAUGCGUUGAGCUAACCGGUACUAAUGAACCGUGAGGCUUAACCUU